rnacentral:rRNA from 1 species
AGAGUUUGAUCAUGGCUCAGAUUGAACGCUGGCGGCAGGCCUAACACAUGCAAGUCGAACGGUAACAGGAAGAAGCUUGCUUCUUUGCUGACGAGUGGCGGACGGGUGAGUAAUGUCUGGGAAACUGCCUGAUGGAGGGGGAUAACUACUGGAAACGGUAGCUAAUACCGCAUAACGUCGCAAGACCAAAGAGGGGGACCUUCGGGCCUCUUGCCAUCGGAUGUGCCCAGAUGGGAUUAGCUUGUUGGUGGGGUAACGGCUCACCAAGGCGACGAUCCCUAGCUGGUCUGAGAGGAUGACCAGCCACACUGGAACUGAGACACGGUCCAGACUCCUACGGGAGGCAGCAGUGGGGAAUAUUGCACAAUGGGCGCAAGCCUGAUGCAGCCAUGCCGCGUGUAUGAAGAAGGCCUUCGGGUUGUAAAGUACUUUCAGCGGGGAGGAAGGGAGUAAAGUUAAUACCUUUGCUCAUUGACGUUACCCGCAGAAGAAGCACCGGCUAACUCCGUGCCAGCAGCCGCGGUAAUACGGAGGGUGCAAGCGUUAAUCGGAAUUACUGGGCGUAAAGCGCACGCAGGCGGUUUGUUAAGUCAGAUGUGAAAUCCCCGGGCUCAACCUGGGAACUGCAUCUGAUACUGGCAAGCUUGAGUCUCGUAGAGGGGGGUAGAAUUCCAGGUGUAGCGGUGAAAUGCGUAGAGAUCUGGAGGAAUACCGGUGGCGAAGGCGGCCCCCUGGACGAAGACUGACGCUCAGGUGCGAAAGCGUGGGGAGCAAACAGGAUUAGAUACCCUGGUAGUCCACGCCGUAAACGAUGUCGACUUGGAGGUUGUGCCCUUGAGGCGUGGCUUCCGGAGCUAACGCGUUAAGUCGACCGCCUGGGGAGUACGGCCGCAAGGUUAAAACUCAAAUGAAUUGACGGGGGCCCGCACAAGCGGUGGAGCAUGUGGUUUAAUUCGAUGCAACGCGAAGAACCUUACCUGGUCUUGACAUCCACAGAACUUUCCAGAGAUGAAAAGGUGCCUUCGGGAACCGUGAGACAGGUGCUGCAUGGCUGUCGUCAGCUCGUGUUGUGAAAUGUUGGGUUAAGUCCCGCAACGAGCGCAACCCUUAUCCUUUGUUGCCAGCGGUCCGGCCGGGAACUCAAAGGAGACUGCCAGUGAUAAACUGGAGGAAGGUGGGGAUGACGUCAAGUCAUCAUGGCCCUUACGACCAGGGCUACACACGUGCUACAAUGGCGCAUACAAAGAGAAGCGACCUCGCGAGAGCAAGCGGACCUCAUAAAGUGCGUCGUAGUCCGGAUUGGAGUCUGCAACUCGACUCCAUGAAGUCGGAAUCGCUAGUAAUCGUGGAUCAGAAUGCCACGGUGAAUACGUUCCCGGGCCUUGUACACACCGCCCGUCACACCAUGGGAGUGGGUUGCAAAAGAAGUAGGUAGCUUAACCUUCGGGAGGGCGCUUACCACUUUGUGAUUCAUGACUGGGGUGAAGUCGUAACAAGGUAACCGUAGGGGAACCUGCGGUUGGAUCACCU